GAUGAAGAACGCAGCGAAAUGCGAUAAGUAAUGUGAAUUGCAGAAUUCAGUGAAUCAUCGAAUCUUUGAACGCACAUUGCGCCCCUUGGUAUUCCGAGGGGCAUGCCUGUUCGAGCGUCAUUUCACCACUCAAGCCUGGCUUGGUGUUGGGCGACGUCCUCUUUGGGGACGCGCCUCGAAACGCUCGGCGGCGUGGCACCGGCUUUAAGCGUAGCAGAAUCUUUCGCUUUGGAAGUCGGGGCCCCGUCUGCCGGAAGACCUGCUCGCAAGGUUGACCUCGGAUCAGGCAGGGAUACCCGCUGAACUUAAGCAUAUCAAUAAGCGGAGGA
rnacentral:misc_RNA from 1 species